CUAAGAGGGAUAAGUUACGAUCUUAUGUUUCAGAAGGUGCCGCCGAUUAAAAAACAAAACAUAAUAAACCUUACUUGGAUAGGUCCUUAACCCAUUGUCGGGGGCAUUCACUUGGUAAUACUGGAUUAGCUUAAGCCAUUGGUGACAACAAGGCUAUUUUAAAAUUGCUCUAGCAAUAGUGGAAGUUGCAGUAUAAGGGGACCGUGAACUUUAUCGUCAGAGACCUGGAUCACCUACGAUUAUGGCAACCUUGAGCAACAAGUCUGCAGAAGAAAUACGUUGGAUGUUGGAUGAUUACGGAAUACCACAUGGCCCUGUGGUUGACUCCACCAGAGGACUUUAUGAGAAGAAGUUAAAGGAAGCCAUGGCUAAAGAUAGGAAGGCCAUGGCUAAAGAUAAGAAAGUAAAAGUUUCCCCUAAUAAGAGUUUUUACAGGG